AAAAAGUUUCCAUUAUGUAUCCAAAUGUCAAACUUAACGAUUAUGGAGAAGUUUACUGCUUUAAGGCUGAACACGAGGCUGCUACAUUUUAGGUAAAUAAAAGUCUUUAUUAAAAACUAGGUCAGGGAGCAGCCAAGAUGGCGGAACAGCUUGGAAGUUUGUUGUGUGUCUCGUGUCCCUGAAAUACAACCAGACCAACUCUAAACCAUCCUGCACACCUAGAAAACAGAUCUGAGGAUUAACACAACAAUCUGCACCACCUGAACCACCGAACUCAGCAGGCACUCAGGAUCUUCUAUUAAUAUGCCAUCAUCCCUGGGAGAGAUACACGUGCACAAUACGAUCAUUACUGUUGAGCAAACACUUCACAUAAGGCAAGUUGUUCAAGCAAUUGCCUAAGAAAAAGGAAGAGAUGACCAAUAUUUUGAAGAGUGAGGAAAGCUGAAUUUCCCCAGUGCGACCAUGACAAAGCAGGUAAAGAGAGGCACGAGGGAGGCACCAGAUUCUGGGGUCCUCCCAAUCUCUUGUGCGCGACAGACCUGACUGCUGGAGAAUUCUGAUGGUGCUAACAGACCCUACCCCUGAGUAUGGAAUCAUAAACUGUUCCCUAUGGCCUGUAGAAGAUUCAUAUUCUCACUAGGGUUCCCUGUGUGACUCGAUUGUUCAACUUAUAUUCUUCUACUUUAGAGAUGCUCAAUCUUCAAGGAUCUCAGGUAUACAGACACAAUUACACACAAAGCGUCAUGGCAUGGUCUCGAAAAAUUGCCUUACUCAUAUGAUAGCUAAGAUCCCAACAGAGGUGAUAAGUGGUGGCGAAACAAACAAUCAGACCAGCAGAUUCCAUCGUUCCUAGGUGGUAUGUACUAUGUACCUGUGGAUGAAAAAGACGGUCAUAAUCACGGCCUCCUUGAGGGGCAAUAUAAGAGAGCAGGUGGUGACGAGCAGAAUAGGUCAGCACCAGAGACUGGUCGUCACAACUGGGCCAGGCCCCCGCUUUGGUUUGGGCACUGCCACAGGAGCCACGUGGGGGCAGCGUCCCUUCCUGUCCUCAAGCAGCUAGAAAAUUACACAGGAAGCCGGUUACACUAACCUGGCAAAUGUGGAUGAUGAAUAGUGGCUGCCGUUCCCCAGGCAUCCUUAUACUUCCCCUGUGAGUACCUUCCAUUGUAGAAAACUCUAAACAAACCAGAAUUAACGGGAAUUCGGCGUCUUCCUUUCCAUCGUGAAAAGUUUCCUUGACGAACCCUUUUAGGAAACGCCAUUUGGGGAGGGAGGGUUAGAAAUUGGAAAAAGAAAGCCUUAACAUCAGCAUGUUAACUAUUUUUAUGUGUGGAAAGCGAAUAUCUGAUAGGAGAGAUUUUACACAGAGAAACAGUUUGCUCUAAAAAGCAGUGAUGGUGAACCCUCUCUAUACGACAUGGGCGAGUCUCAUGCUGAGUGAAUGAAACCAGACCAAAAAAUUAAAAAAAAAAAAAAAAAGUGGAGGUAUACUGAAACUGAAA